UGAUGAUGAUGAUGAUGAUGAUGGUGAUGAUGAUGAUGAUGGUGGCAGUGAUGACUCAGCUCUGUUAAACAAGUGAAGUUUCAACACUUGAAACAGCCAGUGUCUGUAACAUUUAUAAACAUCAUCAUCAUCAUCAUCAUCAUCAUCAUCAUCAUCACCA
rnacentral:pre_miRNA from 1 species